rnacentral:lncRNA from 1 species
GUCCUCUUCAUCAUCCGCCCCAUAGCGCCUCGCCCUCACUCGCACCACCAUCACUGAAGUCCCGAGCCAAGUGGCGCUUGGGGCGGCUGAGUGGGAGCCGGUCCAGCCAGGCGCAGAGGUUAUGAAUAUCCCCAGGCGUUGGCAGGAACGAAGCUGAGCUCGGCUUGGAAGCACUGAGCAUGGCAGAGAAGUGGGUGUGCAGCAGAGAAACACAGCGGAAGAAACCUGGCGGGUUUGGACCGUUGCUGGGAGACGCGGCACAGCCGGAAGGGGCGGGGCCCUAACCGCGCUGGUCCCUCCCUCGAUCCCAGGAAGGAUUGGUCCUCCUGCACGCCCAGAGAUCGGGCUGAAUCAAGGUGGAUGGUUAAAAAACGAAGGGAGAUGGUCCCAGCCUUCUGUUGCAGAUGCUUUGCCUGAUACAUCGCAUGUUGCCCCUCUUCAUCAGCAUCCAGAGGCUCAAUCAAGUGGACAGUGGACCCAACUCGGAAAAAGCCCCUGAGGGGAAGAGCCAGGUGAACAGAGGGUAUGGUCAGCAUGUUCCUACAUGGGAGGGCAGGUGCCCCAGAACAGCCACCUCACACCCUUGUGGGGGAUGACCAGGCUUGUAGAUACAGGAGGCAAG